rnacentral:rRNA from 1 species
UACAGAGGUGGCGAGCGUUGUUCGGAUUUACUGGGCGUAAAGGGUGCGUAGGUGGUUUCGUGUGUCGGAUGUGAAAUCCCACGGCUUAACCGUGGACCUGCAUCGGAAACUACGGAACUUGAGUGCAGUAGGGGAGAGCGGAAUUCUCGGUGUAGCGGUGAAAUGCGUUGAGAUCGAGAAGAACACCGGUGGCGAAGGCGGCUCUCUGGGAUGCAACUGACACUGAGGCACGAAAGCUGGGGGAGCAAACAGGAUUAGAUACCCUGGUAGUCCCAGCCCUAAACGGUGGACACUUGGUGUGGGGGGAAUUAACCCCCUCCGUGCCGGAGCUAACGCGUUAAGUGUACCGCCUGGGGAGUACGGCCGCAAGGCUAAA